UACGUAGGGGGCAAGCGUUGUCCGGAAUCAUUGGGCGUAAAGAGCGUGUAGGCGGCUCGGUAAGUCCGCUGUGAAAGUCCAGGGCUCAACCCUGGAAUGCCGGUGGAUACUGUCGAGCUCGAGUCCGGAAGAGGCGAGUGGAAUUCCUGGUGUAGCGGUGAAAUGUGCAGAUAUCAGGAGGAACACCAAUGGCGAAGGCAGCUCGCUGGGACGGUACUGACGCUGAGACGCGAAAGCGUGGGGAGCAAACAGG
rnacentral:rRNA from 1 species